UGCUGUGUCGCUUCAGUCGUGUCCGACUCUGUUAGGAAGGGAAAUUUUAUGCUAUGGGUUUUCUUUUAAAUAAGGGUAGUGAAAGACAAAAAGAAAUGUCGUCUGUUUUGAAAUUUUGCACAGAGCAGGCUCUGAAUGGAAAUUUUUGGGUUUUAUUUUUGGUUUUGUUUUAUUUUUUUAAGAGACAGAAGGGAGAGAUGUGCUGUGGUUGUUGCUUUUCUGUCUGGAGUGCCCAACUCUGAAUUCCUAUUGGUGGGUUAAUUCAGGGUCUCUUUCACCAUCGAUGUCAAGUUCAGUUCCCACGGACUGAGCACCUCCCACAAGGUCCGUGCUCCUGCGAGUCCUCAUUUGUAGGGACCACUCUCCCUAUUUUACAGAGGGAGAAACUGAGAAACCGCAACUCCUCCAGGAUCCAAGAGCUGGCCUUCGAAAACUUGGAAGUGGAAAAUAAGAGGCUUCAUAGAUCUCCUUGAGAACAAGUGCGGGACACAGUGUGAGCAGAGGAGGCCAGUCAAAGACAGUUCACUGUGUGCAUCCCCCGGCCAGCAUCCUGCAACUUCACCUCCACUCUGUGCACCCAGUUCAAGCCCAGCACAGGCAAACGCCCCUCCACGUGAAGACACACACGUGCAGAGCUAGCAAACAGCACGAGCUCUGGCGAGCCAAGGAGCAAGGACUUCUGAGCUGGUUGCCUUCCUUCUUGCAAUCUCAUGAGGACCCCACAGCAAAUAACCGUGCUUCCUUGUGUUUACGGGCUUCCCUGGUGACUCAGUGGCAUGAAGAAGUCCAGCCCCUAUCCCGACCCUCUGGAGACCUGCUGAGUCACCCAAGCUGAGUCCUGGGUCUUAUCGAUCUGGUCAAAAGAACAAAAUGCCAGGUGCCAAUGAUUCUUCCCCUGGGCAGGAGCCAC